AGAAUGCAUAAUUGGCAUAUACAUAAUUAACAGCUGGAGGAAGCUCCACAUUGGUUCCCUGACGUAUGGAAUGAAGACCUUUCUGGAGGCUGCAAGUCCAAGAUCAAGGUGUCACCAUCAUUGGUUGCUUCUGGGGGCUGUUGAGAAAGAACGUGUUCCAUGCCUCCCACCUAGCAUCUAAAGAAGCCAAGUUUCUGUCAGCAUCCCAACCUCAUUUCCAAACUGUCAAUAAUUGUGAAGGGUCUGAGAUUUUACUCUACCUGCAAGUUAAACAGCUAGACUGCC
rnacentral:lncRNA from 1 species